GUGGCUCAGUGGUAGAGUGCUUGCCUCAUAUGCAUGAGGCCCUGGGUUCAAUUCCACAGC
rnacentral:tRNA from 1 species